GAUGGUACGAGAUAGUAUAAUGAUAUAUUUCUUAUCGCUAUAAUAGCUGUAUUGUUGUAUGUAUUGUUGUACAUUAGCGUGAUUUAUGAUGUACUAUAUUGUGUAGGGUGGAGGGGAACUAAAGGUCACCACUGCGUGCUGCAAACAUAACAACGUUUCGAAGCAUGGAGGGAAAAAUAAGUUUUCUUUCUAGGGUUUUCUGAUAUUUCCCUGCUUUAUACGGAUAUUUCGUCUUACUGACUAAUAUGUACGUAUUGAAAACCAUCUCCAUCUUCAAACUGUGAGCUGAGACGGAGGCUGGAGAAGAUGCAGAAUUGCUAUGGCAACAAGGCGGGGCGCCCCAGCCAGGAUGAGCAGGAGGAACAGAACGAGAGAUUGGCGGGACGGCACAUCGAGACGCUGGCCUUCCUUCAGGAGAUCGCAAAGGAGAACAAGGAACUCAAGGCCAAGGUGGAGACGCUAGAGGUAAGGAGGCCUAGUGAUUUAAGAGUCUUGAAUUUAAACUGUAGUGACUUACAUCUGAGACGUCUUUCAAAAGUGCUUUCAGGUUCAAGUUUGAAGUACAACAUGUAAGCACCCGAUUUAGCAAGGAUGAAAAUUAAAAUCUUUAUAAAAAUCACUAAGCUUGGGACCAGAAUUUUGUGGCAACUCUAAAUUAUAGAUUUCUUAGCCCAGUGCCUUCCUUAUAUAAAUUGAUAUGAUAAAAAUCCAUCGUAAAUAUUUCAGCUUUUCUAUCAGCAAAUCAACUAAUCAACCUAUCAACUAACCGACCUAUCAACUAACUAGCCUAUCAACUAAAUAACCUAUCAACUAUAUAACCUAUCAGUA